AAAGUUUAUUUGUUUCGGUUUAGUCCCAAGUAUUCCAUGAUUGGGGAAAAUUAUUUUUUAUUACUAUUUCUUAUAACAAGAAAAAAAAUAGAAGAGGGAAAGAAUGCGAAAACCUACUAAUAUUUAACGGCGAAAGCACUCUGCUGGGUCGACAUUGACACUGAGAGACGAAAGCUAGGGGAGCGCAUGGGAUUAGAUACCCCAGUAGUCCUAGCCGUAAACGAUGGAUAGUAGGCGCU
rnacentral:ncRNA from 2 species